AACGAACGCUGGCGGCGCGCUUAACACAUGCAAGUCGAACGAGAAGGCGUAGCAAUACGCUUGUACAGUGGCGAACGGGUGAGUAAUACGUGGGCGACCUACCCUCGAGUGGGGAAUAACCCGCCGAAAGGCGGGCUAAUGCCGCGUACGCUUCCAUCUUUAUGGAGGUGGAAGGAAAGCCGUGCCGUGGGCACGGCGCUCAAGGAUGGGCUCACGUCCUAUCAGCUUGUUGGAGGGUAACGGCCUACCAAGGCUCCGACGGGUAGCUGGUCUGAGAGGACGAUCAGCCACACUGGCACUGCGACACGGGCCAGACUCCUACGGGAGCAGCAGUGAGGAAUAUUGCGCAAUGGGCGAAAGCCUGACGCAGCGACGCCGCGGUGGGGGA
rnacentral:rRNA from 1 species